AAAGGAGACUAUAAAAGGAGCUGCGGUGAACCGGGCUCGUUCUUUUACGACGGAGCCUAAGAUAUUCUUUGUCUUGUCGGUACUAGAGUCACCGAAAGAGACAUCCUAUUAUAUGCACGUUCACAAGGACAAUGGCGCCAUUGUUCUUCGCGUCUUCAAAGCAGCUACAAGAAGAAACCAAGAUGGAGGGGAGCCCAAAGCAUCUGAGAGAAUUGAUAAAUGAAAGAAACAUGCUUAAAACAUGACCGUUUUAAAGGUGAAUGCUGACCAGUGAGAUGCCAGCCUGCGUGUGAAGAUCCUACAGCAGAAGUGCAUGGCCAGUGACACAAGAACUUGCGAGAGAUGCCAGUCCGCCUGUGAAGAUCCUGCAGCAGGAGUGCAUAGCCAGUGACACAAGACGUGCGAAUGAAAACUAGAUGUGACCAUCCAGAAAAAGCAUAGACAAAAAAAUGCAGUCUUAGUACUGGGAUGUUUGAGAUGGGGUCUAUCUACAUGUCUCUAGCUGUCCCUAUCAGGACAGCAUCUGGUGUGGCCUGCAGAGUUGAUUCCUGUACUUUUUUUUUUUUGUGGGCUGUAUGUAAAUGGAUUGUUUUGACAAUCCAUUCGACAGUGUUCUCUUCUGUGAAGGUCAUAGGUGAGCUGAUUGACAGACACAGCUGUACAGACUGAAUGCAAUCCUGACUAUAAAGCUGCAGUUCAUCAUUAUGAGCUAUUUCCUUAUUCUGGCAGUGAUUGAAAUAAAAUGGGGAGUAUUGAAAUAAAAAACAUUCAAUUGCAAAUA
rnacentral:sRNA from 1 species